rnacentral:rRNA from 1 species
UACGAAGGGGGCUAGCGUUGCUCGGAAUCACUGGGCGUAAAGGGUGCGUAGGCGGGUCUUUAAGUCAGGGGUGAAAUCCUGGAGCUCAACUCCAGAACUGCCUUUGAUACUGAAGAUCUUGAGUUCGGGAAAGGUGAGUGGAACUGCGAGUGUAGAGGUGAAAUUCGUAGAUAUUCGCAAGAACACCAGUGGCGAAGGCGGCUCACUGGCCCGAUACUGACGCUGAGGCACGAAAGCGUGGGGAGCAAACAGG